UGAAUUGAAGUGAACGGCUCACAAUAAGAUUUUGACUCCUAUUCAAAAGGUUCGAUUCCUUUCUUUUCAA
rnacentral:tRNA from 1 species